rnacentral:rRNA from 1 species
GACGAACGCUGGCGGCGUGCUUAACACAUGCAAGUCGAGCGGGAAACUUCGGUUUCCAGCGGCGGACGGGUGAGUAACACGUGGGCAACCUGCCUCACAAUGAGGGAUAGCCCUCCGAAAGGAGGAUUAAUACCUCAUAACACAAGAGAAACGCAUGUUUCUCUUGCCAAAGAAUUUCGUUGUGAGAUGGGCCCGCGGCGCAUUAGCUUGUUGGUGAGGUAACGGCUCACCAAGGCUUCGAUGCGUAGCCGACCUGAGAGGGUGAUCGGCCACAUUGGAACUGAGACACGGUCCAGACUCCUACGGGAGGCAGCAGUGGGGAAUAUUGCACAAUGGAGGAAGCUCUGAUGCAGCAACGCCGCGUGAGUGAUGAAGGUCUUCGGAUUGUAAAGCUCUGUCUUCUGGGACGAUAAUGACGGUACCAGAGGAGGAAGCCACGGCUAACUACGUGCCAGCCGCCGCGGUAAGAC